UCGAGUUGAUACGUCGCAAGCACCGAGAGCGCCGCGUGGCCUCUUCCUGAAAUUGACAACCAAAUAAAUUGCAAGAUCAAAGCUCAGUACUUAGAAAACAUAUCGCAGAAGGGGCGGUUCUACGUCAUGUAUGGAGACGAUCGGAAACGGAAGUGACGACAGUCGGCGAUAGGAAGAGAUGCACGGCGCCGGGAUAGCCCACUUCCUGAACGCUGCCUUCACUUAUCUCCGCAGGGUAGCCUCGCCCCUGCAUACGUUCAAAGAUUUCUACAUGCGACCCAUUACCAGAAGCACGGAUACGCGUUCAGAUGACCCCAAUCGGUACGUGUGUCCCCAUCCGGCACCCCGAGGGAUGUAAUAAAAUUUGCAUACUUUUAAUCAAGGGCCGUGUCGCGGAGAAGUUUGCCAAUAUCGGACCGCCGUGAUCGAUCUCAUACCCGCUUGUCGUCGCAUUACAACGCUGUUUACUGAACAAACGAUGUGAUAAUGUGUCAUCAUAAGGCUUUUGCACAUUAUGUCGCUAAAGCUUGUUUUGAAACUAUUGUUAUUGAGAUGUGCUAACAGUUACAGCGACUAGUAAGGAAGAAGGGCGGAGGUUUAGAUAAUAUUGACUUUUUCCUUUUUAAGUAGGCAUAUUGAGUAAACAUGAAUGAGAUAAUAAUUGUAUAGUU